rnacentral:rRNA from 1 species
UACGAAGGGGGCUAGCGUUGUUCGGAAUUACUGGGCGUAAAGCGCACGUAGGCGGACUAUUAAGUCAGGGGUGAAAUCCCGGGGCUCAACUCCAGAACUGCCUUUGAUACUGAGGAUCUUGAGUUCGGGAGAGGUGAGUGGAACUGCGAGUGUAGAGGUGAAAUUCGUAGAUAUUCGGAAGAACACCAGUGGCGAAGGCGGCUCACUGGUCCGGUACUGACGCUGAGGUGCGAAAGCGUGGGGAGCAAACAGG